rnacentral:rRNA from 1 species
CCUACGUGAGGCAGCAGCGAGGCAUAUUGGUCAAUGGGCGCGAGCCUGAACCAGCCAAGUAGCGUGAAGGAUGACUGCCCUACGGGUUGUAAACUUCUUUUAUAAAGGAAUAAAGUGAGGCACGUGUGCCUUUUUGUAUGUACUUUGUGAAUAAGGAUCGGCUAGCUCCGUGCCAGCAGCCGCGGUAAUACGGAGGAUCCGAGCGUUAUCCGGAUUUAUUGGGUUUAAAGGGAGCGUAGAUGGGUUGUUAAGUCAGUUGUGAUAGUUUGCGGCUCAACCGUAAAAUUGCAAUUGAUACUGGCAGCCUUGAGUACACUUGAGGUAGGCGGAAUUCGUGGUGUAGCGGUGAAAUGCUUAGAUAUCACGAAGAACUCCGAUUGCGAAGGCAGCCUACUAAACUGCCACUGACAUUGAUGCUCGAAAGUGUGGGUAUCAAACAGGAUUAGAUACCCGAGUAGUC